UACGUAGGGUGCGAGCGUUAAUCGGAAUUACUGGGCGUAAAGCGUGCGCAGGCGGUUAUUUAAGUCAGGUGUGAAAGCCCUGGGCUUAACCUAGGAAUUGCGCUUGAGACUGGAUAGCUUGGAGUGCGGCAGAGGGAGGUGGAAUUCCACGUGUAGCAGUGAAAUGCGUAGAGAUGUGGAGGAACACCGAUGGCGAAGGCAGCCCCCUGGGCUGACACUGACGCUCAGGCACGAAAGCGUGGGGAGCAAACAGG
rnacentral:rRNA from 1 species